rnacentral:rRNA from 1 species
UACGGAGGGUGCAAGCGUUAAUCGGAAUUACUGGGCGUAAAGCGCGCGUAGGCGGCUUCUUAAGCUAGAUGUGAAAUCCCCGGGCUUAACCUGGGAACUGCAUUUAGAACUGAGUUGCUAGAGUAUGGGAGAGGGGUGUGGAAUUUCCGGUGUAGCGGUGAAAUGCGUAGAGAUCGGAAGGAACAUCAGUGGCGAAGGCGACACUCUGGCCCAAUACUGACGCUGAGGUGCGAAAGCGUGGGGAUCAAACAGG